rnacentral:tRNA from 1 species
GCCCCCGUAGCUCAGUGGAUAGAGCAAUGGUUUCCGGUACCAGAGGUCGGAGGUUCGACUCCUCUCGGGGGUA